rnacentral:lncRNA from 1 species
GCUCCUGGCUGGUUCUCUUCAGAGACAGGACAGGAACGAGAGCCAGGCUCUGGUCCGGCCGUGUGCGAGUUCUUCAGCGUUGCCCUCCACAUCUGGAGUAACAUAUUGGAGAGAAAGAAACUGCCCCAGAAGAGCCUGGCUCACCUGCAAAGUCUGCACCUGCUUCUCCAGUGCAGAGCCCAGCGAAGGAGGCAGAGACAAAGAGCCCUUUAGUCUCUCCUUCCAAGUCUUUAGAGGAAGGUACUAAGAAGACAGAAACAAGCAAAGCCGCCACCACAGAGCCCGAAACAACCCAGCCGGAAGGGGUGGUGGUCAACGGGAGGGAGGAGGAGCAGACGGCAGAGGAAAUCCUCAGCAAAGGCCUGAGCCAGAUGACCACCAGUGCUGACACGGAUGUUGAUACCUCUAAGGACAAAACCGAGUCGGUCACCAGCGGCCCCAUGUCCCCAGAGGGCUCACCUUCCAAGUCUCCCUC